UGGGGAAUAUUGGACAAUGGGGGAAACCCUGAUCCAGCGACGCCGCGUGUGUGAAGAAGGCCUGCGGGUUGUAAAGCACUUUUAGUGGGGAUGAAAAGUGCAGAGUUAACACCUCUGCAUCUUGACCUAACCCACAGAAAAAGCACCGGCUAACUCUGUGCCAGCAGCCGCGGUAAUACAGAGGGUGCGAGCGUUAAUCGGAAUUACUGGGCGUAAAGCGUGCGUAGACGGUAAUGUAAGUCGGGUGUGAAAGCCCCGGGCUCAACCUGGGAAUUGCAUUCGAGACUGCAUUGCUAGGGUGCGGAAGAGGGAAGCGGAAUUUCCGGUGUAGCGGUGAAAUGCGUAGAUAUCGGAAGGAACACCAGUGGCGAAAGCGGCUUCCUGGUCCGACACCGACGUUCAGGCACGAAAGCGUGGGGAGCAAACAGGAUUAGAUACCCCGUAGUCC
rnacentral:rRNA from 1 species